rnacentral:tRNA from 1 species
GCGAGCGUGGCGAAACUGGUAGACGCACGAGACUUAAAAUCUCGCGACUUCGGUCAUGCGGGUUCGACCCCCGCCGCUCGCA